rnacentral:rRNA from 1 species
UACGUAGGGUGCGAGCGUUGUCCGGAAUUACUGGGCGUAAAGAGCUCGUAGGUGGUUUGUCGCGUUGUCCGUGAAAACUCACAACUCAAUUGUGGGCGUGCGGGCGAUACGGGCAGACUGGAGUACUGCAGGGGAGACUGGAAUUCCUGGUGUAGCGGUGGAAUGCGCAGAUAUCAGGAGGAACACCGGUGGCGAAGGCGGUUCUCUGGGCAUGUCCUGACGCUGAGGAGCGAAAGUGUGGGGAGCGAACAGG